AUUGAACGCUGGCGGAAUGCUUUACACAUGCAAGUCGAACGGCAGCACGGGGGCAACCCUGGUGGCGAGUGGCGAACGGGUGAGUAAUACAUCGGAACGUGCCCGGUCGUGGGGGAUAACGUAGCGAAAGAUACGCUAAUACCGCAUACGAUCUGAGGAUGAAAGCGGGGGACCUUCGGGCCUCGCGCGAUCGGAGCGGCCGAUGUCAGAUUAGGUAGUUGGUGGGGUAAAGGCCUACCAAGCCGACGAUCUGUAGCUGGUCUGAGAGGACGACCAGCCACACUGGGACUGAGACACGGCCCAGACUCCUACGGGAGGCAGCAGUGGGGAAUUUUGGACAAUGGGCGCAAGCCUGAUCCAGCCAUUCCGCGUGCAGGACGAAGGCCUUCGGGUUGUAAACUGCUUUUGUAUGGAACGAAAAGGCUCUGGCUAAUACCUGGGGCUCAUGACGGUACCGUAAGAAUAAGCACCGGCUAACUACGUG
rnacentral:rRNA from 1 species